GUGAUAUAACUCUGGGCCCAUGCCCUAGGCAAUGUCACUCUCCUCUUUCGCCUGGGCCCUCUCCUUAGUGGGGAUUGUGACAUAUUACUUCUCCUAGCACCUAGGCGAUGGAACUUCCUCUCAUGCCCGGGCCCUGCCUAUGUGAGUGAUUGAAUAGAUGGCUAGACGCAGCCUCUAUAUUAUGCCACUCUCUUCUUCCUGAGCUCUACCCACAAAGGAAAGAUUGUGGCAUAUUACUGAACUAAGCAACCUAGUGACGUGUCUCUUCUGACUGGGGCUUGCCCACAGAGACAACUGUGACAUAGCACUGAGCCCAGGACCCAGGUGAUGUGACUCUGCUGCCUGUUUCCAACAUUCAUGAGAGGAUGGUAACUAUCCCUUGCCAAGAACUCAGGUGAUUUGACUGUCCUGCCUUGUUGCUGCCCUCAGAGAAGAUUGUGAUAUAUCUUCAGCCCCAAACCCAGACUUUCCUGCAGGAGUGAUGCUGACAUGUUCCUCUAUUUGGCAUCUGAGUGAUAUGACUCUUGCCAUGGUCUAGCCCACAGAUGGAAUUGUGAUGUGUUGCUGUACCCAGCACCUAGGUGAUGUAACUCCAUUUUUCUGCCUUGGCAUUGCUCACAAAAGGUAUUUUGACAUAUCUCUGGGGUAUGUACCCAGGUUUCAUGACUCUCUUGCCUGUGCCCUGUCCACAAAUUGUCAUGAAAUAUUGCUGGGUCCAACACCCAGGGAUGUAACUCUCAUGCCUAGGCCCUGCCAACAGGGGGAAUUGUGACAAAUCUGUGUCAAUAACCCAGGUUAUGUGACUCUCUUUUUUUGCCUGGUCCCUGCUCACAGAGGGCAUUAUGACAUAUUGCUGAACUCAGCACCUAACUGAUGUGAUUCUCCUUUCUAGUUUUUGCCCACAGGGGAGAUUGUGACAUAUCACUGGGCCUCAAACUAAGGUGAAGUUACACUUUCAUUUUCGAACUGUACUCAGAAGGCAUCGUGACAUAUUCCUGGGCCCAGCACCAAGGUGAUGUGAGUCUCCUGCCUGCACUUUGCCCACAAAUGGCAUUGUAACAUAUCUUUAGACCUAUCAACUACUUGAUAUGACUUAUUUUUUUAAAGUGAAAGCAAGUUUAUUAGAGAAGUAAAUAAACAAAAGAAUGGCUACUCCAUAGACAGAGAAGACCUCAGGGCUGCUCAUUGGCUCUUUUCAUGGUUAUUUCUUGAGUACAUACUAAACAAGGGAUGGAUUAUUUGUGAGUUUUCCAGGGAAAGGAUGGGCAAUUUCCAGAACUCAGGGUGCCUUCC